rnacentral:rRNA from 1 species
GACGAACGCUGGCGGCGUGCUUAACACAUGCAAGUCGAGCGGAGCGGCGAACGGGUGAGUAACGCGUGAGUAACUGCCCCCCUCUCUGGGAUAACAGUUGGAAACGGCUGCUAAUACCGGAUAGUUGGGGUUGGCUGGCGGCCUCUCAGAUUGUGGGUGGGGUGAUGGCCUACCAAGGGGGUGACGGGUAGCCGGCCUGAGAGGGUGGUCGGCCGCAUUGGGCUGAGAUACGGCCCAGACGCCUACGGGAGGCAGCAGUGGGGGAUAUUGCACAAUGGGCGCAAGCCUGAUGCAGCGACGCCGCGUGAGGGAUGAAGGCUUUCGGGUUGUAAACCUCUUUCGGUACAGAACGGGUAUGUGCAGAAGAAGCGCCGGCUAACUACGUGCCAGCAGCCGCGGUAAUAC